rnacentral:rRNA from 1 species
UACGUAGGGUGCGAGCGUUGUCCGGAAUUAUUGGGCGUAAAGGGCUCGUAGGCGGUUUGUCGCGUCGGGAGUGAAAACCAGGUGCUUAACACCUGGCUUGCUUUCGAUACGGGCAGACUAGAGGUAUGCAGGGGAGAACGGAAUUCCUGGUGUAGCGGUGAAAUGCGCAGAUAUCAGGAGGAACACCGGUGGCGAAGGCGGUUCUCGGGGCAUGACCUGACGCUGAGGAGCGAAAGUGUGGGGAGCGGACAGG